AUACAGGAUCCUUAUACGGCGAGUGAACGGGAAAAGCUCAAAUUUGUAAUCUGGCUGUCUUCGAUAGUCCGAGUUGUAAUCUAUAGACGUGUUUUCCGCGCUGGAUCGUAUCUAAGUCCCUUGGAACAGGGUAUCAAAGAGGGUGACAAUCCCGUGCUUGAUACGACCACCAGUGCUCUGUGAUACACGUUCUACGAGUCGAGUUGUUUGGGAAUGCAGCUCAAAAUGGGUGGUAAAUUCCAUCUAAAGCUAAAUAUUGGCGAGAGACCGAUAGCGAACAAGUACCGUGAGGGAAAGAUGAAAAGCACUUUGGAAAGAGAGUUAAAUAGUACGUGAAAUUGUUGAAAGGGAAACGAUUGAAGUCAGUCGUGUUCUUCAGAUUCAGCUGGUUCUUCCAGUCUACUUCUGUUGAACGGGUCAACAUCAGUUUCGUCCGGUGGAUAAAGAUAGUAGGAAUGUAGCUCCCUCGGGAGUGUUAUAGCCUAUUGUUGCAUACACUGGGUGAGACUGAGGACUGCAGCUCGCCUUUUGGCCGGUCUUCGGACACGUUCGAGCUUAGGAUGUUGACAUAA
rnacentral:rRNA from 1 species